AAAGAUAGCUCCAGUAAUAUUGAAUCUUUUUCCAUUUCAAAUCCAUGAUUUGAAUCUCUCUCUUGCUCUCAUUCCUCAUUUUGCUUUGCAGCUCUGAAGAAGUAGCUUCAAAUUUUUGGGAUUCAUUUGGUGUUUACUUUCAUUUCCUCCCCGUAUCCGCACCAGUGACGUCGGCACCGUCUACCUCUGGUCUGACUUGCAGAAAGUACUAGCCUUAACCUUACACAGUUGGUACUUCUUCAUCAUAUCUACCUUCUCUGUUUUGAACCGUGUUCAUCAUGCCUCAGUCUCAAAGAAGAUACAUUCAAAGAAGAAGAAAGCUAGGGCCUUCCACGAAAUGCAGGCCAAGGUUGAGAAAGAGAUGGACAGUGUUUAAGGUUGUUGAAGAUGGAAACCUGACUUUUACCCUUCAGGAGGCAAAUUGAGACAGUAGAUGAAGAGGAUUGUUAUGCAGAGAUCCUAAAGAAUACUAUUAUAAUGUGAGAUGAAUCAGCACUCCUAUGGGUGGAUCCAGCAACGAUACAAUCGCUACUAAAGGACUGCUCAUGCCAAGGGGCAGCAAAUAGGAGAAUAAGGCUAAGGAUUCCAAAUAAAGGAUUUGUCCUCCUUUAGCUACCGUAAUUUGUUUCCAAGUUAUAAGUUGGUUUACCCAUGGCUCUUUAGUAAACAAAGCUCAAAGCUACAAGAAUGCACAUUUAUGUCAGAAGAGGCGGUCAAAUUAUCAGGCUGGCAUAGCAAAGAUGCUGUCCUGUCCUGGGAGAGGAACGAGAAAUACCAAUUCAAAGAAGAUAUAGAAUGUAGUAGGUCGAUGCUGCUGUUAGAAGAUGGCGGCAAGUGGAAGAUAGAGUGGUUCGGAAGAAGAAGAGGAGGGGAAGGAGAAGUCAGUGAAGGGUGAGAACAAGAUCAAGCACAAAAUGAAGAUUGAUUCAUAGUUGGAAGUUUUAGAGAAAACUUUUGCUGGGAGGCUUACCCUUCAGAAGUAGUGUAAGCCGAGUUAUUUUGAGAGUACUUUCGAGUAUUGAUAAGUGGUAACUAAGACCUUUAUUUUGGGCAUACUUUCAAGUAAGAUGUUUUUGUUAAAAGUUUUUCGAAUGCAUUCACUUUGCUAGUAAUUUCUGUUGCCGUGCCUUCAUAAAAAUCAUAGCUACCUGCACUGCUGAAGAUCAGUUUAGAGAUUAAUGCCAUCAACCUACUCAAAAGAGAUAUCUUGAAUCUCAAUAUUAAAUUGGCAGAGCUUUAGGGACUACUCGAUUAGAAAGAGGCAAAGUUAUCACACUACAAGAGGUAAGCAUGUUCAAUUCUCUCGAGACUCUAAUGAGAUAUAAAUAUUGAUUUUGUUAAUUAGUUGUGAUUGAAGUAUGGAAGGGAGUAUUAGUUCAUUGAACAAUUUUGCGAGACCAAAAUUCUCAGAUGUCAAGAGGCGUACAUCCAUCUCCUGCUUUUGGUAGUUUUCCUAAUCUUGAAGCAUUGGUAAUUGAAGAAAGUAAUGCUGAAGAAAUGGAUGAGAAACAUUUUUGUACAUAUGGAGGAGAAUAUGAAAAGUCGGUUGAACACCUUUGCUACCUCUUUUUAGAUUCGGAACUUCAACGAAGAAACAUAUUUGAUUCGUUGACAUACUAUAGUCGUGUAAGUGAUGUUGUAAAAAUACUUUAGUGACGGUAGCAUCAUCAUUCUUUUUGCUUGAUUCUUUAGGUUACACUUAGUAAGGAUGAAAGUUAUUACUUUAUAAAUGAGAAUUGAAACUUAAUUUGUAAACAUGACACUUGGUUUACUAUUUUUUUUUUCAAUUUUUUUGUGAAAUAUCUGUAAAAGCUACUUGGAUCUUUUUUUUUUUUUCUUUUUACAAUCGUUGAAUAUCUUGGUGAAUAAGUACAUUGGUUUUGCUGCUUCUUCUUUCUUUUUGAUCUGCCACCUGGAGUAUAACUACCGACUGGAGGAGGGGUGGAGGGUGUUUAGAUGUGCUACGGGUACUUUGUUAUUAUUUUAUUUAUUCGUGUCCAUUUAUAUUUUAGGGAUAAUCGUCUCGUUCUCUUUUAUGUUUCACAGUUUUUUGUGGCAGCUGAUAGUCUGACAAGGAUUAUACCAUGUUCAAUUUCUGACAAUUUUGAGAUCCGAGAUUAUUGAUGCUGAUAUUCUGAGCUGGGCAAACAAUAAAGUGAAAAAAAAAAGUUUCAAAAGUAA